UUCUCUGUUUUCUCUUGUGUCGAUUGCCUCUCGAUCUGAAUCUCCAAUUGUUUUUUCCUCUCCUUGGUAUAGGUAGUUGCAUCUUCAAGUUUAUCCGUAUCUUUAAAGAUGCCUGGUAUAAUUGUGCAGGAGUAUUGGUUGUUUUAGAUCGAUGAUGGCAAUUGAUUUCGUUCUUAUGAAGCGAAGAAUCGUCGGUUCUUAGUCUACUGGAUUUGAUCCUCUUUUAACUACUUCGAUCGAUAGUUGCCGGUGGUUAUCGGAAG
rnacentral:lncRNA from 1 species